rnacentral:rRNA from 1 species
GAUGAACGCUAGCUACAGGCUUAACACAUGCAAGUCGAGGGGCAGCAUUUCAGUUUGCUUGCAAACUGGAGAUGGCGACCGGCGCACGGGUGAGUAACACGUAUCCAACCUGCCGAUAACUCGGGGAUAGCCUUUCGAAAGAAAGAUUAAUACCCGAUGGCAUAAUUAGACCGCAUGGUCUUAUUAUUAAAGAAUUUCGGUUAUCGAUGGGGAUGCGUUCCAUUAGGCAGUUGGUGAGGUAACGGCUCACCAAACCUUCGAUGGAUAGGGGUUCUGAGAGGAAGGUCCCCCACAUUGGAACUGAGACACGGUCCAAACUCCUACGGGAGGCAGCAGUGAGGAAUAUUGGUCAAUGGGCGCAGGCCUGAACCAGCCAAGUAGCGUGAAGGAUGACUGCCCUAUGGGUUGUAAACUUCUUUUAUAUGGGAAUAAAGUUUUCCACGUGUGGAAUUUUGUAUGUACCAUAUGAAUAAGGAUCGGCUAACUCCGUGCCAGCAGCCGCGGUAAUACGGAGGAUCCGAGCGUUAUCCGGAUUUAUUGGGUUUAAAGGGAGCGUAGGUGGACAGUUAAGUCAGUUGUGAAAGUUUGCGGCUCAACCGUAAAAUUGCAGUUGAUACUGGCUGUCUUGAGUACAGUAGAGGUGGGCGGAAUUCGUGGUGAAGCGGUGAAAUGCUUAGAUAUCACGAAGAACUCCGAUUGCGAAGGCAGCUCACUGGACUGCAACUGACACUGAUGCUCGAAAGUGUGGGUAUCAAACAGGAUUAGAUACCCUGGUAGUCCACACAGUAAACGAUGAAUACUCGCUGUUUGCGAUAUACAGUAAGCGGCCAAGCGAAAGCAUUAAGUAUUCCACCUGGGGAGUACGCCGGCAACGGUGAAACUCAAAGGAAUUGACGGGGGCCCGCACAAGCGGAGGAACAUGUGGUUUAAUUCGAUGAUACGCGAGGAACCUUACCCGGGCUUAAAUUGCAUUUGAAUAUAUUGGAAACAGUAUAGCCGUAAGGCAAAUGUGAAGGUGCUGCAUGGUUGUCGUCAGCUCGUGCCGUGAGGUGUCGGCUUAAGUGCCAUAACGAGCGCAACCCUUAUCUUUAGUUACUAACAGGUCAUGCUGAGGACUCUAGAGAGACUGCCGUCGUAAGAUGUGAGGAAGGUGGGGAUGACGUCAAAUCAGCACGGCCCUUACGUCCGGGGCUACACACGUGUUACAAUGGGGGGUACAGAAGGCAGCUACCUGGUGACAGGAUGCUAAUCCCAAAAGCCUCUCUCAGUUCGGAUCGAAGUCUGCAACCCGACUUCGUGAAGCUGGAUUCGCUAGUAAUCGCGCAUCAGCCAUGGCGCGGUGAAUACGUUCCCGGGCCU